CGGCGGGGCCGCGCUCGUCCCGCGGCGCCGACAAGCCCCGCGGGGGCAGCGCGCCGGCGGGGCGGUCUGCACUCGAGCAUUACGAUAUGUUCAUGUUGCGGGACUCUGUACCACCCUGCUGCUUUUCGGCUUAGCUUUCUAGCAGGUUCCUGCACUAAAUCAAGCAAGGAGGAGAAUUUAAACUUGACUGCAUCUUCCAGGUUCUAGAAAAAAGCAGAUCUCUUGAUCCUUCUUUGACCUGAUGAGAAUUAACAGCUUGGAAAAGACAGGACUCUCAAGACUCUCUCCUGACAGUACUGCUACUUUUCUAGCUUUUUCUUCCUUGAUUUGCUCAAGGCAUCUUGGAUCGUGACUAAGGGCAUUGGCGAUGAUGCGUUUCUAAUCAUUGAAGAAAUGUCUUCACCCUGUUGAUCCACUUCCAUUUGGUCACCAUAUUCUUCAUCCAUCUCCAUACUAUCAUUGGCCUGAUCACUGGGAAGUUUCUCCUGCAGCUUGUCAAGAAAGAAACACCUGCAUAAUGACAACAGAAGUACAAAUCAGUCUGGUAUCUGGCAAGGGGAAGCAAGGGAAUAUAAUACUGAUCUUCCUGACAAUAAAUCAAUGAAUCACAGAAUGGUUGAGGUUUGAAGGGACCUCUGGAGAUCAUCUAGUUCAAUCCCCCUGCUCAAGCAAGGUCACCUACAGGAUGUUAGACAGGAUUGCGUCCAGGUGGGCUUUAAAUGUCUCCAGAGGAGGAGACUCCACAACCUCUCUGGGCAACCUGUUCCAGUGCUCUGUCACUCUCACAGUGAAGAAGUUCCUCCUUAUACUCAGUGACCUAACUAUCUUAUGCUCAACUCCCAGAUUCCGAUGUGCUCAAAUUAGGAGUGUCAUGAACAAAAAAGAGAAUAUGAAUUGUAAAUUCAUGUGGACUGUACAGUUUUUGUGGCUACCACGAAAGAUGAGGUUUAGACUAUGUAUCCACAUGACCACUCACCUGUGAUUCAUGAUCUGGAUGAAGUCUUUACUCUUUAACUGCAAGUGGAGAUCAGUUAUUUCCUCUGCCCGGCACAUUAUUACUUCCAGGCAGUAUGUUUUCAUCACUCCAUGAAGUUUGGGGAUCAGAAAGAACACUGCAUUCAUAAACCUUAACAUGACCAGAAACCCACAAACAAAAGCAAGUUAUUUUUUAUUAACCUUCUAGAUCUACUGCAAACAUAACAUGUAAGUCAUGGUGUACCUGUCAGCAAGAGGAGGAAAACUCUUAACAACUUUACUCAAGCACUGAAUGAACUUAUCCUGUUGGGUAUUCUGAUGCUGUUUCAAUUGUUUUAUGACACAGUCAUAAGCUGGAUCUUCAAGUAUCUAAAAAUGAGAAAGUCAGUAAAGACAGGUGUAGCCAUGACAUUCAUAACAACUUAAGUGAUGUAUAGUUCUGCUCUUGCAUUGUUUCUAGUGCAUUUUACUAGUGGCAUUGAACCUGCCUCAUCUUGACAUCUACUGUACUUCAUGGAAGGUAUACAGUUA